ensembl:lincRNA
GGUCAAUUUUCUUCUGAGCUGCCUUUUGAAAUGAGAGCCGCCAGUCCCUGAGUAGGAGAAAGUGCCCUCCCAGAUCCCCCUUUGGCCCACCCUCCAGCAAACAGGGAAACAUUGUCAUGUCAGUUUGGAGCAGUUCCCUUCUACGUGUCAAAAGAAACUUACUGUGAUUAAAGUGCAAUAAAAAGGAAAAGUUGGCUCUUUAGCCUGAGCAUAUAAAUGUCUCAGGAAUUCUGCCAUGUCCUCCAGUAUUAUAUCGCACACACACACACACACACACACACACACACACACACACACACACACACACACACACACAAACACACACACACACACACACACACACACACACACACAUACACACCUCUACUGGGCAUUAACUACGUACACAGGGCACAUUUGGGGGAUUAACUACAUACAUAAUGUUGUUGUAGAUGCAUCUCUUGUGUCAUUUCAUUUAACUCUCCAAAACACCUCAUGUGUCAGGUGUUUAAUUGCUAUGAGUCACGUAAGGAUUUGACACUUGAGUUAGGAAACCGGCCCCUAUCUAUCCAGGUAAUAAGAUAAAAACCCAAAGCACUGAAUUUCAAAGACCUUAUUUUCCCCCGUGCUGUACUGCAGGGCUAACACAGGAGAGCACACACUUUCCAGACUCACUGUGUCUUCACCGCAGCACUAGGCAGCAGCUACUCAGAAACAGUUUGCCGAGGCUUGGACGUUCCUGGAUGGAUCUCCUCAGAGCCCUGUCUCUGUCCUUCUGACUUCAGCGAUCCUGGGACUGUAGGGGCCACUGAAGGACUGCAUUUAGGUCCGUGCUUCUGUAAACAACAGGUUCCUUAACAGAACCGUGUUGAGCACUACAGCAGUCCUAGGAUCUGCCUCUGCUUCUUCUUCUUUUUUUUUUUUUUUAUUGAGUUUAUUGGUACAUUAGGGAUACAGUACAGUUACAUUCAUUGUUGGGAUCAUGUACCUCUGCAUGGCAAGUCUUGAUUCUCAUUUUUUUCCCCUUACCUCUGCCCUCCCUUCACCCCCUCUCCCCUCCCCAUCUACAAACACUUUAUUUUCAUCUUUUCAUUCUCUCACAUUUUUUUCUUUUCCCUUUUUGUUCUUCUUCUGUCAUUUUCUGAUGCCCUGGAAAAGACUCCAUUGUCUGAUGCAGGUGCUUCUCCAUGAUUUAAGACGUAUCAUCGGCUCCCACCCAGCCCUUACAAUCUCAUUUCUUAUUCUCUAUUACAAUAGUACCUCUCCUUUCACCAACUUUGUGUUGUUGCUGAUGGUAAGUACCCAUUGUAUACUCUGGCACUAGCCUUCCGUCAGAGGCAUUCACUAAUCUUAAGUGUUCCUCCCUCCAGUGCCCUACUCUUAGCCAAACUCUACUUUCUGUCAGGUCACACAUCAAGUCCACUUGCCCAUGUGCUGCCUUUCCCGGUUCAUUGAAGCCCGUCUGCCUUCCAUUUUAACGCCGCUUAACACUGGAACCAGCUCCCAAGCUCUCACUGAUUGGUUAAUGUUACACGUGUGUGCAGGGAAGAGAGCAAAUAGAUGUUUAGCAGGGAAACUUAGUCUGCGUAUCCUUUUUCCUCCAUCAGAUAGAUAGAUGGUUGUUUCCACUGGCGCCCACUGCUUGUAAGUCAGACGCUGCUCUUUAGGCUCCCUCCAGUCUGGAUCAGGGCACAGAGGGCGCGCCUUGCUUUGUGUUCCUAAGCGCAGAAAUACUGGUACUUCUACUGAUCUUCUAUAUCCAUAAUUCCCUUACUUGUCCCACAACGAUAGUUCUGUUUUGUCCCAUUCUUUCCUGCUGGAUAAACACUAAAAUUUAAUCCAGGGGUGUGUUUCAUUUAGAGAGUACAAAGUGCAAGAGGUAGGAGAAAGGAAAGAAAGAAAUAUGAGAAAAGGAAAAAAUGGAAACAGAGUCUUUGUAAAUAGGAGGGUGGAGGGGUGGAGGGGUUGAAGGAAAAGCAGGGUAAUGGGGAAAAAAUAAGAACUACGAUAUAUCAUAUAAAGGUACAAAUUCCCAAUGAUGAAUGUGAUCAUAAUAUAUAUCUAAAAUGUACCAAUAAAAUUAAUGAAUUUUUAAAAAGUACAAAGUGCCAUCACUAUUUUAUUUCCUUGGCUGGAUUAGCAUAUAUUUACAUAGUUGUUACCCAGUUUCAUUGAGGCAUACCUCUGUGUGAGAAAACCAAUUAGUAAAGAAGAAAUUUAAACACACCUAAGCCACUUAGUGUUGCAAAAAAGAGAG